AUUGAACGCUGGCGGCAGGCCUAACACAUGCAAGUCGAACGAGUGGCGGACGGGUGAGUAAUGUCUGGGAAACUGCCUGAUGGAGGGGGAUAACUACUGGAAACGGUAGCUAAUACCGCAUACCAUCAGAUGUGCCCAGAUGGGAUUAGCUAGUAGGUGGGGUAAAGGCUCACUUAGGCGACGAUCCCUAGCUGGUCUGAGAGGAUGACCAGCCACACUGGGACUGAGACACGGUCCAGACUCCUACGGGAGGCAGCAGUGGGGAAUAUUGCACAAUGGGCGAAAGCCUGAUCCAGCCAUGCCGCGUGUAUGAAGAAGGUCUUCGGGUUGUAAAGCACUUUAAGUCGGGAGGCGUUACCAACAGAAUAAGCACCGGCUAACUUCGUGCCAGCCGCCGCGGUAAUAC
rnacentral:rRNA from 1 species